rnacentral:lncRNA from 1 species
UUAAUUUUCUUAAAGGCAUUACUAGUCCAAUCCUAUAAUGCUACUGAAUUGUCAGGUUUGGAGAGCAUCUCUGGCAGAGCUCCUUGGGACAGCAGUGUUGGUCUUCGCAAUGGAUACCAUAGUCAUCUCCUCCUACGAGACACAAACAAAAACGCCCCACCUUAUAAUGUCAUUUCUUAUUGCUGUCACUAUCACAGUUCUCCUCCUAGCCACGUUUCCCAUUUCCGGUGGCCACAUCAAUCCUGUUAUCAGCCUUGCUGCGUCACUCACCGGAGUUAUCUCCCUUUCACGUGCCGCCAUUUAUAUAUUGGCUCAAUGUGUUGGGGGCGUACUAGGGGCACUGGCAUUACAGUCUGUGGUGAACACCAAAAUUGAGCAAACAUUUUCUCUUGGUGGGUGCACCCUCACUAUUGUUGUGCCAAGUGCAAAUGGGCCACUUGUGAUCGGACUCGAGACGAGCCAGGCCCUAUGGCUGGAGAUUAUUUGCACCUUUGUAUUUCUUUUUGCUUCCAUAUGGAUUGCUUUUGAUAAACGUCAAGCCAAGCACUUGGGUCGAGUGGUGGUUUGCUCUAUCAUUGGUGUUGUGGUGGGCCUUAUCGUAUUUAUCUCAACUACUGUAACUUCCACCAAGGGAUAUGCAGGGGUUGGGAUGAACCCUGCAAGAUGUUUGGGUCCGGCUUUAAUUAGAGGCGGCCACCUUUGGAACGGACACUGGGUUUUUUGGGCUGGACCUGUCGUUGCUUGUGUAGCAUUUGCCCUCUAUACAAAGCUCAUUCCAAGUCAGCUGUUGCAUAAUUGAAUGCCUGAAACAAGGGUGGCAUAAAUAAGUAAUCUUUAAAUGAUGUAAGAACAUGGAUACUUAAUCAGUUUCGGAUGCUUACGUAUCAAACUAAGCUGAUCCAACUAUAAAUGAACAUCUCGUUUUCUCCGGAAGUGUGAAUGGUUUACAACCUCAGACUUUUUGAACUUGUUAUUUGACACAAACAUGAUGGUGUUGAUGGGACGGGCCGGGCCGGGCCCAACUAAAAUUUUAGACCUUUUUGUUAGGUUCGGGUUUGGCACAAAAAAUGGGUUUAAUAUUUUGCUCGGGCCUAACCCAAAUAAAAAUAUUAAAAUCCGGGCUCGGUCCAGCCCGCCUGUAUUAUUUUUUUAUAUUAUUUAUUAUAUAAUUUUUUAAAAAAUGUAUAAUAUAUCAAAAAUACUAAAAAUAUUAAAAUAAAUAUUUCCCAAAAAAUUGAAAAUAAAUAUAUAUAUACUUAAAUAACACUAAAAUAAGUGCAAUAUAACAAGCAAAUGUCUUUAAAAUAGUAACAAAAGUAAGGAGUUAUACAAUAUCCAAACAAUAACAGGAAAAUAGUAAAAAAAAAGUAAAAAACAAUAAGAAAAAACAACAGCUUUUUUUUUUGCGUAUUCGGGCCGGACCAAAAAAAUCUUACCUAAUAUCUGGCCCGUUUUCUAAAUAAGUCUUAAAUUUUUUUUGUCUAAAUCCAUUUUCUAAAAUUAUAUUUUACUUAAACUCUUUCAUUUUUCGAGUGAGUCAUCUCUUCUGUAUCCAAAACAGAAGGGAUCUGAUGGAUUGCAUGUCAAAGUAUGACAUGUAAUGAUAUCGUGAAGUUCAUGCUAUAAUUGUAUUAAGAUGAUGGAAGGGAUUCAUUUGUUACAACUUAAUAUCUGCUACCAACUUAAACACCGAAAGUCUCUUACAUUUUUUUUUUCAUUUUAACCCACAUUUUUUUUAUAAAUAUAUGAUAUUCCUAUUUACAAUAAUUAUCUAAUUUAUUUUUUCAAAAUAUUGAUAAUGUUAUAACAAGUGGGUUGGGGUUAAUUUUGUAAUUUAAAUUUUAUAAUAUCACUACGUCAAGAAUUUUUCUAGAAAAUAAAAUCAACGAAAUCUAUUUUAAAAUUUAUUAUGAUAGAAUUAAAAUGCAUGAACGGUCCGAUGUAGUGUUGGCUUUUCUGUCUUGUAUGAAAAAUUAAUUUAUUAAAACAGUAUCACAUUUUAUUCAUGCUAAGUCAAAGUUCGUAUUUAUAUGUUUGCUUGUUGCAGAUUGAGUCUACUUUUAAGAUUGUUUGUAAGAACAACUUAAUUUUAAGACCCAAACAUGCUGCUGCUAACUUUGAGGAGAAAUAGUUUUUUUUUUAAUGUAAAGAAAUAAUUCAUUUAACAUAAGUAAAUAAUUAAAGUAGUCUUAAAAACUUGUUCCAUAUGAAUGAUUAUUUAUUAAAUAAAUAUUUUUAUUGAAAUUUAAAUACAAAAAAUCUACAUAUUAAUUAGAAUAUUUUAAAUAUAUAAUUUGAAUUUUUUUUUAAAAUUAAUGAUUGGAUGAUGCUUUGAACGAUUGAUCUAAUUCAUAGUUAAUUGUUUUGAUAUAAUAAAAAAAUUAUUAGAAAUAUAAUAUCAUCACAUUACGUUACACAUGGCACAUAUGGAAAAUCACAAAUAAACUUAAAAAUUCAGGUACAAAUAAUAAUUAAUUUUUGUUUUCAAAAUUAAAAUAAACAUGAAAAAGGAAACUUCACUUUUUUGGAAACUGGAAUAAAGCAAGUUCAGAUAUCGUAGAGCAAAUAGCGCCGGUUGUAGUUACAUUAAUUAUAAAUAGAGAGGAUAGAUACAUAGAAAAAACUGAAGCAAGAUAACUUUUAAUCAGGAUAGACACAAGGCAAAAACUGGAGCAAGAUAGCUAUUAAUCAGGAUAGAUACAUAGCAAAAACUGGAACAAGAUUGCUUUUAAUCAGGAUAGACACAAGGCAAACUGGAGCAAGAUAGCUUUUAAUCAGGAUAGAUACAUAGCAAAAACUAGAGCAAGAUUGCUUUAAACCAAAGGUUACUGGAACUGUUGGUGUUAUUGAAGACAAGGAAAAUGCCUAUACUGGAACCAGAGUCUGGUCCUUUGUUGCCACGUCAAGUGUAACGCCCCUAACCCGAAUCCGUCACCGGAAUAGAGUUACAGAACAUUACUGGAGUUACCGAUUUAUUUAUCAGAUAUUUCAUUUUAUCUAAAGUUUAUAUUUGAAACCAAUUAAAAUCAAACAUAUUGUCCCUUAACAUAUUUAUUUUUCUCGAUAUGUUGUACUUGAAUUUAUUACUCGUCUCAAUUUAAUUAAUUUCCUUGUAUCAACGUAUCAAAGAUAAUCACCUAUUUACAUGUCAUGAUAAAUAUCAUUCUCUUGCCAUUUCUUCAUAAACAUAAAUCAGGUAAUUCAUUAUAUCGAUAUUUCAUGCAAAUUAGUCGUUUCUAACAUUUUUACAAAUUACCCACAAAGUUUUACUUUUAUUCAAUUUAGUCCCUGAGCCUAAAACCUGCAAAUUAACCAUGCUAGAUGAGUAUUCAUACAUAUUUUCCUCCUCCUCCUCUCCAUUCCACAUCCUUAAUUUAUAUAACAUGCUACAAAUAACAAUAUCAAUAAUUUCACUAUUUACUUAUAUGUAUAUUUAAAACUGUCCAUUUGCGUCAUAGUCACUAAAUUAUUUAUAUCUUGAGCUACAGAACUCGAAAUUAAGAUCCUCUAAUUUUCCACGAAACUAGACUUAUGUAUAUUCUUACCAUAAAAUUUUCAGAAUUUUUGGUUUAUCCAAUAAGUAUAGUUUAUUCUUUAAAGUCACCCUCAUUCUGAUGUCUGACAAUUCCGACCCUUAUUCACUAAAAAUUAAUUAUCUCAUUGUACAGAACUCAAAUGAUGUUCCCAUUUAUUUCUCUUGAAAAUAGACUCAUUCAUAAUUCUAAUCAUAUAAAUUUAAGCCCAUAAUUAUUUUUAUCCAUUUUUUUAUGAUUUUCCAAAGUUAGAACAGAGGAACCCGAAAUCAUUCUGACCUUAUCUCACAAAAUUUACUAUAUCUCAUAAUUUACAAUUUUAUUUCUUACACCGUUUCUUUUAUAAGAAAGACUCAAUAGGCUUUAAUUUCAUAUUUUAUUUAACCUCUAAUUCUAUUCUCAUAAUUUUUGGUGAUUUUUCAAAUUUAGACUAUUGUUGCUGUCCAAAACUGUUUUAGUGCAAGGUAUUAUUUACCAUGUUUAUAACACCCUUAUUUUCUUUCUCUACACUAUUUUUCAUUACUUUCUCUUAUUUUCUCUUCACUAACAUGACAAGAACAUAAGACCAUAUAUAAGAAAACUCUAAAUCAACAUCAAUUCCAUGUUUUUUCAACAAUAUUAAACUUAAAAAUAUAUUGAAAUCUUAAUGUUCUUACCUUUUCUUAUUGACUUCAAUCUUUAACUUGAUUUUUCUCUCUCCUCCAGCUUCUAUUUCUUGAAUCCAACUUGAUAUUCUUGCUCCCCAUCAUCUCCUUGCUAUCUUUCUCUCUUGAUGGCUAUGGAAAUUUUUUCAAUUUUUAGGUGAAAUUAAUGAAUUUUUGGUGGAAGGACUAAAUUGUAAAGAAAGAAAACUUUUUUUUUUCUUCUUCCUCUCUCACUUUGAUUUGCAUGGGAAAGAAAAGAUGAUGAUUCUUCAUCUUUCUUUCCUUAUAUAUACUAAAUAAAAUAAUAAUAAAAUAAUAAAAUAUCAUUUAAAAAUCAAUUUAAAGUAUUAAUAAACUAAUAUUUAUUUAAUUUAUCUAAAAUAUCUCUCACAUCAUCAUUGUCUCUAGAUUUCUCUCUUCCAAUUGACCAUUUUGCCCUUAUUGAUCUUUUAAAAUUCCAUUCUUGAGUCAUCACUUAAUUUGGUAAAAUUGCAAUUUAGUCUCUCAUAAUUCUUCACCUAUUCAAUUUAGUCCUAAUUCAUCAAUUUUCCUUGGUUUCUAGAUCAUUCCACCCUUAAACUAUUUGCACUAUUAGUCCUUCAACUUUUCAUAUUUACACUUUAAUUCCUCAAAUUUUGAGUAUUUACUCUUGGGCCACAAAACUUUUUUCACUUUUAUAAUUUAGUCCUUUCUUGAAUCAAUAUGUCAUAAUAUACUUCCCAGUGACAUAACUCAAUUUUUUCUCUUCUUGUCACUUUAUUUCCUUAUUUUACUAUAUUAAGGAUAAUAUCUUACUAUAGAAAUUUUCAGCGUGUUACACCAAGGCAAGCCUCACAUACUCUUUAAUAAUCUUUGGACUAUAUUGAACUUGAAAUUGUCUUUUCUUCAAAUAAAUUUGCAGGGUUGAGGAUGACGAGGAGAAGCGAAGUCCCAUUACCUUGAACAAGAUUUUGUCUUGAGGAGCUUUUCUCUUUUGAGGUUUCUGGACUUCUUUUUUCUCUUUAAUUUUCUUAAAGGGUAUUACUGGUCCAAUCCUAUAAUGCUACCGAAUUGUCAAGUUUGGAGAGCAUCUCUAGCAGAGCUCCGUGGGACAACAGUGCUGGUCUUUGCAGUUGUCUCCUCCCACGAGACAUAAACAAAAACGCCCCACCUUAUAAUGUCAUUUCUUAUUGCUGUCACUAUCACAGUUCUCCUCCUAGCCACGUUUCCCAUUUCCGGUGGCCACAUCAAUCUUGUUAUCAGCCUUGC